rnacentral:rRNA from 1 species
AGAGUUUGAUCCUGGCUCAGAGCGAACGCUGGCGGCGUGCUUAACACAUGCAAGUCGAGCGGAAAGGCCACUUCGGUGGUACUCGAGCGGCGAACGGGUGAGUAACACGUGAGUAAUCUGCCCUUCACUCUGGGAUAGCCCUCCGAAAGGGGGAUUAAUACCGGAUAUGACUACUGCCUGCAUGGGUGGUGGUGGAAACUUUUUGGGUGGGGGAUGUGCUCGCGGCCUAUCAGCUUGUUGGUGGGGUAAUGGCCUACCAAGGCUUUGACGGGUAGCCGGCCUGAGAGGGUGACCGGCCACACUGGGACUGAGACACGGCCCAGACUCCUACGGGAGGCAGCAGUGGGGAAUAUUGGACAAUGGGCGGAAGCCUGAUCCAGCAACGCCGCGUGAGGGAUGACGGCCUUCGGGUUGUAAACCUCUUUCAGCACCGACGAAGCGCAAGUGACGGUAGGUGCAGAAGAAGGACCGGCCAACUACGUGCCAGCAGCCGCGGUAAUUC